rnacentral:rRNA from 1 species
GACGAACGCUGGCGGCGUGCUUAACACAUGCAAGUCGAACGGUGAAGCGCCUUCCUUUUUGGUGGGUGUGGAUGAGUGGCGAACGGGUGAGUAACACGUGAGUAGCCUGCCCCCUUCUUCUGGAUAACCGCAUGAAAGUGUGGCUAAUACGGGAUAUUCUGGGUCUGUCGCAUGAUGGGUCUGGGAAAGAUAUUGUUUCGGUGGGGGAUGGGCUCGCGGCCUAUCAGCUUGUUGGUGGGGUGAUGGCCUACCAAGGCGGUGACGGGUAGCCGGCCUGAGAGGGUGGACGGUCACACUGGGACUGAGACACGGCCCAGACUCCUACGGGAGGCAGCAGUGGGGAAUAGUGCACAGUGGGCGCAAGCCUGAUGCAGCGACGCCGCGUGAGGGAUGGAGGCCUUCGGGUUGUGAACCUCUUUCGCCAGUGAAGCAGGCCUGCCUCGUUUGUGGGUGGGUUGACGGCAGCUGGAUAAGAAGCGCCGGCUAACUACGUG